UACAGAGGUCUCAAGCGUUGUCCGGAUUUAUUGGGCGUAAAGAGCUCGUAGGCGGCUUGUCGCGUCGAAUGUGAAAUCCUGCGGCUCAACUGCAGGCUUGCAUUCGAUACGGGCAGGCUAGAGUUCGGUAGGGGAGACUGGAAUUCCUGUGUAGCGGUGAAAUGCGCAGAUAUCAGGAGGAACACCGGUGGCGAAGCGGUCUCUGGGCCGAUACUGACGCUGAGGAGCGAAAGCGUGGGAGCGAACAGG
rnacentral:rRNA from 1 species